rnacentral:rRNA from 1 species
CCUACGGGAGGCAGCAGUAGGGAAUUUUGCGCAAUGGGCGAAAGCCUGACGCAGCAACACCGCGUGAAUGUUAAGCCCUUCGGGGUGUAAAGUUCUGUCAAUAGGGACGAAUUUUGACUGUACCUAUAAAGGAAGCACCGGCUAACUCCGUGCCAGCAGCCGCGGUAAUACGGGGGGUGCAAGCGUGUUCCGGAAUCAUUGGGGGUAAAGCGUUCGUAGGCGGCUAGGAAAGUCUGAUGUUAAAGCCCGGGGCUCAACUGCGGGUCGGACUUGGAUACUAUCUAGGUAGAAUGUGGUGGAGGUAAAGGGAAUUCCUGGUGUAGCGGUGAAAUGCGUAGAUAUCAGAGGGAACAUAGGGGGCGAAAGCGCUUUACUGGACCAUUCUUGACGCUGGGGAACGAAAGCCAGGGGAGCAAAUGGGAUUAGAUACCCUUGUAGU